GCGGGUAUAGCUCGGUGGUAGAGCACAUGCUUAGCAUACACAAAGUCCUGGGUUCAAGCCCCAGCACCUCCG
rnacentral:tRNA from 1 species